rnacentral:rRNA from 1 species
GAUGAACGCUGGCGGCGUGCCUAAUACAUGCAAGUAGAACGCAGUUGCGAACGGGUGAGUAACGCGUAGGUAAAUGCAUCAUAGCGGGGGAUAACUAUUGGAAACGAUAGCUAAUACCGCAAACUGGGAGAUGGACCUGCGUUGUAUUAGGGAGUUGGUGAGGGUAAGGCUCACCAAGGCGACGAGACAUAACCGACCUGUGAGGGGGACCGGCCCCCACUGGACCGAGACACGGCCCGGACUCCUACGGGAGGCAGCAGUAGGGAAUCUUCGGCCAUGGACGGAAGUCUGACCGAGCAACGCCGCGUUGAUGAAGAAGGUUUUCGGGUCCUAAAGCUCUGUUGUUUGAGAAGCGGUAACUAACCAGAAAGGCACGGCUAACUACGUGCCAGCCGCCGCGGUAAUUC